GCCCGAAUGGCGAAAUUGGUAUACGCAGUAGACUCAAAAUCUACCUCUUAUUGGAUUGUGGGUUCGAGUCCCACUUCGGGCACCA
rnacentral:tRNA from 1 species